rnacentral:rRNA from 1 species
UGCGAGUCGAGAGGUGUUAAGACCUCGGCGUACUGCUCAGUAACACGUGGAUAAUCUGCCCUCAGGAGAGGAAUAAUCCCGGGAAACUGGGGCUAAUGCCUCAUAGGAGACGGGUGCUGGAAUGCUCUGUCUCCCAAAGGUCCGCCGCCUGAGGAUGAGUCUGCGGCCGAUUAGGUUGUUGUUGGGGUAACGGCCCAACAAGCCCGUGAUCGGUACGGGUUGUGGGAGCAAGAGCCCGGAGAUGGAUUCUGAGACAUGAAUCCAGGCCCUACGGGGCGCAGCAGGCGCGAAAACUUUACAAUGCGAGCAAUCGUGAUAAGGAAACCCUGAGUGCCUGUCAAUGCAGGCUGUUCUGGUGUUUAGCACGCACCAGGAGAAAGGGCGGGGCAAGACCGGUGCCAGCCGCCGCGGUAAUACCGGCUGCUCGAGUGAUAGCCGCUUUUACUGGGCUUAAAGCGUUCGUAGCUUGGUCGUUAAGUCUCUGGGGAAAUCUUCUGGCUUAACCAGAAGGCGUCUCAGUGAAACUAGCGACCUAGGAACCGGGAGAGGUGAGACGUACUUCGGGGGUAGGAGUGAAAUCUUGUAAUCCUCGAGGGACGACCGAUGGCGAAGGCAUCUCACCAGAACGGCUUCGACAGUGAGGGACGAAAGCUGGGGGAGCAAACCGGAUUAGAUACCCGGGUAGUCCCAGCCGUAAACGAUGUGCGUUAGGCGUGUCGGUGACCACGAGUCGCCGAGGUGCCGAAGGGAAACCGUGAAACGCACCGCCUGGGAAGUACGGUCGCAAGGCUGAAACUUAAAGGAAUUGGCGGGGGAGCACAGCAACGGGUGGAGCGUGCGGUUUAAUUGGAUUCAACGCCGGAAAACUCACCGGAGGCGACGGUUACAUGAAGGCCAGGCUGAUGACCUUGCCUGAUUUUCCGAGAGGUGGUGCAUGGCCGCCGUCAGUUCGUACCGUAAGGCGUUCUGUUAAGUCAGAUAACGAACGAGACCCUCAUUCUUAAUUGCUACUGACAACCCCGGUUGUCAGGCACAUUAUGAAGACCGCUGACGAUAAGUCAGAGGAAGGCGAGGGCAACGGUAGGUCAGUAUGCCCUGAAUCCUCCGGGCUACACGCGCGCUACAAAGGCCAGGACAAUGGGUUUCAACAUCGAAAGAUGAAGGUAAUCCCGAAACCUGGUCAUAGUUCGGAUUGAGGGUUGAAACUCACCCUCAUGAAGCUGGAAUCCGUAGUAAUCGCGGAUCAACAUCCCGCGGUGAAUAUGCCCCUGCUCCUUGCACACACCGCCCGUCAAACCAUGCGAGUUGGGUCAAAGUGAGGAUGUAGUA